AGCAGUAGCCGCGGUAAUACAGAGGGUGCAAGCGUUAAUCGGAAUUACUGGGCGUAAAGGGUGCGUAGGCGGUCCGCUAAGACAGAUGUGAAAUCCCCGGGCUUAACCUGGGAACUGCAUUUGUGACUGGCGGGCUAGAGUAUGGCAGAGGGGGGUAGAAUUCCACGUGUAGCAGUGAAAUGCGUAGAGAUGUGGAGGAAUACCGAUGGCGAAGGCAGCCCCCUGGGCCAAUACUGACGCUCAUGCACGAAAGCGUGGGGAGCAAACAGGAUUAGAUACCCCGGUAGUCCCUGUCUCUUAUAC
rnacentral:rRNA from 1 species